rnacentral:rRNA from 1 species
GACGAACGCUGGCGGCGUGCUUAACACAUGCAAGUCGAACGGAAAGGCCCCUUUGGGGGUACUCGAGUGGCGAACGGGUGAGUAACACGUGAGUAACCUGCCCUUGACUUCGGGAUAACUUCAGGAAACUGGGGCUAAUACCGGAUAGGAAUCCUUGCUGCAUGGUGGGGGUUGGAAAGCUUCGGCGGUUUUGGAUGGACUCGCGGCUUAUCAGCUUGUUGGUGGGGUAGUGGCUUACCAAGGCUUUGACGGGUAGCCGGCCUGAGAGGGCGACCGGCCACAUUGGGACUGAGAUACGGCCCAGACUCCUACGGGAGGCAGCAGGGGGGAAUAUUGCACAAUGGGCGGAAGCCGGAUGCAGCAACGCCGCGUGCGGGAGGACGGCCUUCGGGUUGUAAACCGCUUUCAGCAGGGGCGAAGCUUGUGGUGACGGUACCUGCAGAAGAAGCACCGGCUAACUACGUG